UACAGAGGGGGCAAGCGUUAUUCGGAAUUAUUGGGCGUAAAGGGCGCGUAGGCGGCUUCGCAAGUGGAAGGUGAAAUCCCUCGGCUUAACCGAGGAACUGCCCUCCAACUGCGUUGCUUGAGGCCGGGAGAGGUGAGUGGAAUUCCCAGUCGUAGCGGUGAAAUUCGUAGAUAUUGGGAAGAACACCGGUGGCGAAGGCGGCGACCUGGUCCAUUACUGACGCUGAGGCGCGACAGCGUGGGGAGCAAACAGG
rnacentral:rRNA from 1 species